ACGAACGCUGGCGGUGUGCUUCACACAUGCAAGUCGAACGGUAAGGCCCUUUCGGGGGUACACGAGUGGCGAACGGGUGAGUAACACGUGAGUAACCUGCCCUCAUCUCUGGGAUAACAGUCGGAAACGGUUGCUAAUACUGGAUAUGAGCUUGCAAGGCAUCUUGUGGGUUGGAAAGAUUUUUUUUGGUUGGGGAUGGACUCGCGGCCUAUCAGCUUGUUGGUGAGGUAGUGGCUCACCAAGGCUUCGACGGGUAGCCGGCCUGAGAGGGCGACCGGCCACAUUGGGACUGAGAUACGGCCCAAACUCCUACGGGAGGCAGCAGUGGGGAAUAUUGCACAAUGGACGGAAGUCUGAUGCAGCAACGCCGCGUGCGGGAUGACGGCCUUCGGGUUGUAAACCGCUUUCAAUUGUGACGAAGCUUUUUUGUGACGGUAGCAGUAGAAGAAGCACCGGCUAACUACGUG
rnacentral:rRNA from 1 species